ACAUUAUUUCAUUUUGGAACAAGUAGGUGUUAAAAAGAAACAAAAUGCUUCUGCUGUUGUUGGGGGUGCAGUUUGAACAAAAUCUGUUAUAUAACCACCUAUAGUUUGCUUGUGAUUUAUAAAUUUUGGACUAUGCACAUAUAUAUAUAUUUUAAUGUUUUGGAUUGUGUUGCACUUCUUUGUUGGAGUGAGAGUUGAUUAGCUCUCUAACUGUUGCACAUAUUUAUUUAAACUAGAGUCUGGUAAUAAGAGUACUGCAGGUAUUAUGAAUGCUGAGGCGGCAACAAAAAUUUUGACAGAAUUGCGCCGCCUUGCUCGUGAACAAAGAGAAAAAGAGGAAGAAGAAAGACAACGGGAAGAAAUGCAGCGAAGGGUGAUUAAGAAAUCAAAAGACGUGGCAAAGGAAGCAGUUGGAGGCCAAGCAGAAGACCUCUUGAAACUCAAAGAUGGGCAGCGACAAAAGGAGACUAAAAAGAAGAAAGGAUGGCUGGAUCAGGAAGACCAGGAAGCACCACUGCAGAAAGGGGAUGCCAAAAUAAAAGCUCAAGAGGAAGCUGACAAACGCAAGAAAGAACACGAGAGAAUUAUGUUACAAAAUUUACAAGAACGGUUAGAAAGGAAAAAGAGAAUAGAAGAAAUUAUGAAGCGGACAAGAAAGACAGAUGUGAAUGCCUCAAAGGUCGCAGAAACAUCCAGCCAUGACAUAUAUGAAGAGGCUGAGGCUGACAACGAAGAAAGCGACAAGGACUCAUUGAAUGAAAUGUUUCCAUCAG
rnacentral:sRNA from 1 species